rnacentral:rRNA from 1 species
UACGGAGGGUCCAAGCGUUAUCCGGAAUCAUUGGGUUUAAAGGGUCCGUAGGCGGUUUUGUAAGUCAGUGGUGAAAGCCCAUCGCUCAACGGUGGAACGGCCAUUGAUACUGCAAGACUUGAAUUAUUGGGAAGUAACUAGAAUAUGUAGUGUAGCGGUGAAAUGCUUAGAGAUUACAUGGAAUACCAAUUGCGAAGGCAGGUUACUACCAAUAUAUUGACGCUGAUGGAACGAAAAGCGUUGGGGAGCGAACAGGA